UACGUAGGUGGCAAGCGUUGUCCGGAUUUAUUGGGGUUAAAGGGUGCGUAGGCGGCUUUGUAAGUCAGUGGUGAAAUAUGGCAGCUCAACUGUCAGGGUGCCAUUGAUACUGCAGAGCUUGAGUACAGAUGAGGUAGGCGGAAUUGACGGUGUAGCGGUGAAAUGCUUAGAUAUCGUCAAGAACACCUAUAGCGAAGGCAGCUUACUAGGCUGUAACUGACGCUGAGGCACGAAAGUGUGGGGAUCAAACAGG
rnacentral:rRNA from 1 species